AUUGAACGCUGGCGGCAUGCCUUACACAUGCAAGUCGAACGGCAGCACGGGUGCUUGCCCCUGGUGGCGAGUGGCGAACGGGUGAGUAAUACAUCGGAACAUGUCCUGUAGUGGGGGAUAGCCCGGCGAAAGCCGGAUUAAUACCGCAUACGAUCUACGGAUGACAGCGGGGGACCUUCGGGCCUCGCGCUGUAGGGUUGGCCGAUGGCUGAUUAGCUAGUUGGGGGGGUAAAGGGCUACCAAGGGGACGAUCAGUAGCUGGUCUGAGAGGGCGACCAGCCACACUGGGAGUGAGACACGGCCCAGACUCCUACGGGAGGCAGCAGUGGGGAAUUUUGGACAAUGGGCGAAAGCCUGAUCCAGCAAUGCCGCGUGUGUGAAGAAGGCCUUCGGGUUGUAAAGCACUUUUGUCCGGAAAGAAAUCCUUGGCCCUAAUACGGUCGGGGGAUGACGGUACCGGAAGAAUAAGCACCGGCUAACUACGUG
rnacentral:rRNA from 1 species